rnacentral:rRNA from 1 species
UCGAGCGAGACCUUCGGGUCUAGCGGCGGACGGGUUAGUAACGCGUGGGAACGUGCCCUUUACUACGGAAUAGUCCCGGGAAACUGGGUUUAAUACCGUAUACGCCCUUCGGGGGAAAGAUUUAUCGGUAAAGGAUCGGCCCGCGUUAGAUCAGAUAGUUGGUGGGGUAAUGGCCUACCAAGUCUACGAUCUAUAGCUGGUUUGAGAGGAUGAUCAGCAACACUGGGACUGAGACACGGCCCAGACUCCUACGGGAGGCAGCAGUGGGGAAUCUUAGACAAUGGGCGCAAGCCUGAUCUAGCCAUGCCGCGUGAGUGACGAAGGCCUUAGGGUCGUAAAGCUCUUUCGCCAGGGAUGAUAAUGACAGUACCUGGUAAAGAAACCCCGGCUAACUCCGUGCCAGCAGCCGCGGUAAUACGGAGGGGGUUAGCGUUGUUCGGAAUUCUGGGCGUAAAGCGCACGUAGGCGGACUGGAAAGUUGGGGGUGAAAUCCCGGGGCUCAACCUCGGAACUGCCUCCAAAACUACUAGUCUA